AAAUAUUUUUAAAGGGAUGUACAUGUAAAAGUUUGUUCUAAGUAGAUGGUGUUACUGUAUCAGGGGAAAAUCAGGCAGAGAUCUGCUUUGCAUAAAGUCUCAGAGUGGACUGAAGCCCAGCAUUA